rnacentral:rRNA from 1 species
GUUGACAUGAGUAGCGAUAAACAGGGUGAAAAGCCCUGUCGCCGAAAACCCAAGGUUUCCUACGCAACGUUCAUCGGCGUAGGGUGAGUCGGCCCCUAAGGCAAGGCAGAGAUGCGUAGUCGAUGGGAAACAGGUUAAUAUUCCUGUACUUGAUUCAAAUGCGAUGUGGGGACGGAGAAGGUUAGGUCAUCGAUCUGUUGGAAUAGAUCGUUUAAGCCGGUAGGUGGAGCACUUAGGCAAAUCCGGGUGCUUAACGCCGAGAAGUGAUGACGAGUGUCUAAGGACACGAAGUGACUGAUACCACGCUUCCAGGAAAAGCCACUAAGCUUCAGUUUGAAUGAAACCGUACCGCAAACCGACACAGGUGGGUAGGAUGAGAAUUCUAAGGCGCUUGAGAGAACUCAGGAGAAGGAACUCGGCAAAUUGAUACCGUAACUUCGGGAGAAGGUAUGCCUCUGAUGGUGAAAGAUUAACUCUGUAAGCUAUUAGAGGUCGCAGAGAAUAGGUGGCUGCGACUGUUUAAUAAAAACACAGCACUCUGCAAACACGAAAGUGGACGUAUAGGGUGUGACGCCUGCCCGGUGCUGGAAGGUUAAUUGAAGAUGUGCAAGCAUCGGAUCGAAGCCCCAGUAAACGGCGGCCGUAACUAUAACGGUCCUAAGGUAGCGAAAUUCCUUGUCGGGUAAGUUCCGACCCGCACGAAUGGCGUAACGAUGGCCACACUGUCUCCUCCUGAGACUCAGCGAAGUUGAAAUGGUUGUGAAGAUGCAAUCUCCCCGCUGCUAGACGGAAAGACCCCGUGAACCUUUACUGUAGCUUUGCAUUGGACUUUGAAGUCACUUGUGUAGGUUAGGUUGGAGGCUAAGAAGCAGAAACGCUAGUUUCUGUGGAGCCGUCCUUGAAAUACCACCCUGGUGACUUUGAGGUUCUAACCCGGAUCCAUUAUCUGGAUCGGGGACCGUGCAUGGUAGGCAGUUUGACUGGGGCGGUCUCCUCCCAAAGAGUAACGGAGGAGUUCGAAGGUUACCUAGGUCCGGUCGGAAAUCGGACUGAUAGUACAAUGGCACAAGGUAGCUUAACUGCGAGACCGACAAGUCGAGCAGGUGCGAAAGCAGGACAUAGUGAUCCGGUGGUUCUGAAUGGAAGGGCCAUCGCUCAACGGAUAAAAGGUACUCCGGGGAUAACAGGCUGAUUCCGCCCAAGAGUUCAUAUCGACGGCGGAGUUUGGCACCUCGAUGUCGGCUCAUCACAUCCUGGGGCUGUAGUCGGUCCCAAGGGUAUGGCUGUUCGCCAUUUAAAGUGGUACGUGAGCUGGGUUUAAAACGUCGUGAGACAGUUUGGUCCCUAUCUGCAGUGGGCGUUGGAAGUUUGACGGGGGCUGCUCCUAGUACGAGAGGACCGGAGUGGACGAACCUCUGGUGUACCGGUUGUGACGCCAGUCGCAUCGCCGGGUAGCUAAGUUCGGAAGAGAUAAACGCUGAAAGCAUCUAAGCGUGAAACUCGCCUGAAGAUGAGACUUCCCUAGGGAUUUAAUCCCUCUGAAGAGACGUUCGAGACCAGGACGUUGAUAGGUCGGGUGUGGAAGAGUGGUAACACUUGGAGCUAACCGAUACUAAUUGCUCGUGAGGCUUGACUCUAU